AUGGAGCGCGGCAACAAGAAUGCGAGGGUCAAGAAGGCGAGGGUGGAUGAGCCUCUGCUACUGCCAGUGCCAGCCAAUGUCAAGCAAGAAGUGGCAGUAGUAGUACAGGAGCCAAACGGAGGAGGUGGUGGUGGUGGUGCAGUUGUGGCGACGGAAGUAGCCCCCGCCGGAAAGGAGAUCGACAUCAAGAUCGACUCGACCGCGCUCCACUGCCCCGUCUGCUCCGAUCGCCUGAGGCCACCCGUCUUCCAGGUUUCUCUUCGGAUGCGGUUUUUCUCAUUCGCGUUCCAUUCGCAGCGGGAAUCCAUGCCGUUCUUCCCUGCACUUGGAUCAGCGCUGCAUGCAGGCCCAGGACAUCGUGGGUCCACUCAGAGUGAGGCCACAUGCUAG
rnacentral:rRNA from 1 species